rnacentral:misc_RNA from 1 species
AACGGAGGGGACAAGUGUUACUCGUCUUGAUUGGGCGUAAAGGGUCCGUAGACGGUUUAGUUUCAAUCUAAAGUUAAAUCAAAUAAACUUUAGAUAUUGCUAGACUAGAGUCAUGGGGGAGAUGGAGGUACUUCUAGUGUAGGGGUGAAAUCCGUAAAUACUGGGGGGACUACCACUCGGCGAAAGCAUCCAUCUAUACAUGUACUGACGUUGAGGGACGAAAGCGUGGGGAGCAAACAGG